AUUACCAUUCACUAUUUUAACAAAUUAUAAUUUUUUAAAACGAUGGAAUUAAUUUUUAUAGCUCCUCAAAAAACCUCAAGUUAUUUGGUCCAAUUUUAACCGAGGUAUUCUAUUUUGAACAGUGUCUGCUUACUUUUGCCUCUCACUGUAUAUUUUAACACUGGAACUACCAAAUGGAAAAUGACAAUUUUAAAUUAUAGAAUUUAUUAAGUUCCAGUGUUAAAUGAGCGACGCCACUUCUUUAGGAAGUGCUACGAUUUCCUCUUCAUCGCGAUAUUGCUCAAGGAUCGGAAAUAAGGUUGAAGAACCACUGUUCGUGUCGUCUGAACAUCAACCGAGGAAAUUUUUUUUUCUGACGUAACGUCAUUACGAAACGAUCAUCGCGAAGAUAACAGCAAAAUAUGUGUGGGAGCGUGUGCAUUAUUAUAUUUUUUUGUUGUUGUUGUUAUUGCAACAACUUUCCAUUACAAAUCAAGCCUUUAGCUAACGCUGGAUGAACUACAUCAAUGUUUUGAUCCUAAUACAGGUGCAACGACGCACUUCGUUUAUGAUAAUUAACAAGGAAAGUAACGCAUUAUUUAUGAAACACAGUCCCUGUAAUAAGACUCGAGGAGAAACUCUUUUCUGAGGCCGACGAUUUAAUGCUGGCGUCCUCGAUUUAACGAGAAAGAACAAUACUGUGAAGAAAAAUGUGCGUUUGCAAUUUUCUUAGGAGAGAAUAUGCGAUUCGUUGAGGAGGCAGAAUGAUGAUCUAUGUUUAAAGCAAUCUAUUUGUUAGUUAAUGGAAUAAUACAGGACUAUUUGUCUUUAUUUAUAAAAUAGUUAUUGAUAAUAUAUUAUACUUUGAAGAGGAGGUACAUUCUCAAGGAAAAAAAACAAUAUUCUGUUUUUGUACAAUUCACUGCCGUAUCCUUGUGGUUAAAGAAAAAUCUGUGUAGAUUGUUAAGUGACUUUAGCUGAUUCAAGGACAAACGAGUAUCAUCAGGAUUGCGAGUCAUCCCGGUUCUGCUUUUUUUUUAGCCUUGUCCUUCCGUACCAGACAAUCUUUUCUUACUUAUCUCCUGUUUGAAAUUUAUUUCUGAAGUUGUUUUCAGAGAUUUGUUAAUGCACUUUAUACCAGUUGAAACGGUAUUGUAUUUUUAUGUUGAAAACUAAAUGAAAUUUAAAAGAAGUAACAGUAAGAAUUUAAUUUAGUAGGAGGAAUUCGUUGACACGUUUUCCACAGCAAGUAUUCCUCGCACUUUUACACAUCAUCACGUUUUAUUAGUCUAUCUCAGCGUCCUUUCUCUUUAGGAUAGCCUGAUAUAUAAUUUAAUUGUGUGUAAUGAAAAUUUAAUGCCUCUGUAAUGGAAUUUCUCCAUUGCUCUUUUUUCUCAGGGUCUGUUCUCUAAUUUUUUCAGUUUUGAGAAUUUCAUUAACAUUACCAUAUAUUUCUUUUUUCAGUGAAUAUUUUUAAAUAAUAAAAAUCUUCAGAAGAAUUAUAAAAUAUGUUGUCAUGGAGUUUCAUCAGCCUCAAAGUGCUUCAGAUUAGAAAUACAAAGAAGAAGAAUAGAAAGCACAGUGGUGAACAGAAAGUGAAUGAAUCCUCAUGGGCGUUAAUUUGAUCCCCAAGAAGAAGAAGAAGAAAAAGAAGACCUAGCCUCUGGUGAAGGAAGUUGUUUGUGGUCGAAUGAAUCGGACCUUGGAAAGAGAGUCUUCCCAAGCAGACGGUGUUGGGAACAGCUUAAAAAGAGUCCGUACGUCGUUGGGAAGUUUCCUUUGUAGAAAUACCGUUCGACCACCAAGCAAGUAACAAGAUCUCACUUCAAGGAACUCGUCUUAAUGAUCUUGCUUCUGGUUUGACCAGAAAUUCAUUCACCAAAUUUCAUCUUAUCCUCAAGAUUCCUUGAUUUUCAUUCAAAGGGUUAAGGCCAUUCUAGAAUUUUGAAGAAAUAGAAAUUUCUUUUUUUGCUUAAAUGAUAUGACAAGAAAUUAUGGAUGGGAAAAAUCUCUAAGUACUCCAAUUUCGAAUUCGAAUAUUACUAAAGACUUUAAACGCAUCUAAGAAAUGUUGCAGAGUCCAUAUUUUCAUUUGAAUCAUUAUACAAAAAUUAAUUUUUAAAAUUUAUUAGUUAUUAGUUUAUUCCAUCAUUUAAAAAAAAAAUUCCCAACAUAUGCUCUGGAGUGGCUUAGAAGAAAAUUAAAAUAAAACUGAGUCAGUAAUAAAACUGUCAGUCUUGUACAGAUUUCUGUUUCCCAAGGAUUGAAUAUAACGUCCAGAGUGGACCAAUCUAUCAUUUUGCAAGUAUCAAUCCGGUACUUCCGGUUCUAUGCUCUCAAAAACAGCUAGCGAAACGAUACCCUCUCGUUAUGCCUCACUUUCUGAACUCGAUGCUGUAACCAGCCUCUGAAGAAAGGCGUUCGGUCCGAUGAAUUCGAACAGGUCAUCGACACCUCGUCAGAAGGAAGCGUUUGCACCAAAUUGUUUUCAGAGGCACUGGGUACUGUACACUGGAUGCUGCGCGAAACCGUUAUACAACCUACAGCAUACAAGCGGUCUUUGCUCGCCCGGAUUCCCGUUGCCCUGUCCCCGUGUCAUUCUGUCGUCCAACGUACAGCUAAUAGGAAAUUAUAAGCUGCGACAAUGAAGCAAACGGGCUGCUUUUCCACAAACAUGAGAACUGGGAAUUGAACCUCCUUCCAAGGAACACUUGGUUCUGCCCAUAUUUUUCUUACUCCUUUGCUUCUUAUCUUUAUAUGUAUAUGUAUAUAAAGACAAAUGUCCUGACUGGACUCAUCAACGCCCAGCCCUAACCUCCUGAACCUAGAAACAUGAAAUUCGGGUAGUGUAUACCUCUCAUGACGUAAGCACCCACUAAGAAGGGAUUUUUAGAAAUUCGACUCUUAAGAGUGUAAAAAGAGUUAAAAUGUGUAUAUAAAGACAAAUGUCCUGACAAACUCAUCAACGCCCAGCCCAAACCCCCUGAACCUAGAAACAUGAAAUUCGGGUAGUGUAUUCCUCUUAUGACGUAAGCAUCCACUAAGAAGGGAUUUUUAGAAAUUCGACCCUUAAGAGUGUAAAAAGGGUUAAAAUGUGUAUAUAAAGACAAAUGUCCUGAC